rnacentral:rRNA from 1 species
UAGACCGCCUGGGGAGUACGGUCGCAAGAUUAAAAACUCAAAUGAAUUGACGGGGGCCCGCACAAGCGGUGGAGCAUGUGGUUUAAUUCGAUGCAAACGCGAAGAACCUUACCUACUCUUGACAUCCAGAGAACUUUCCAGAGAUGGAUUGGUGCCUUCGGGAACUCUGAGACAGGUGCUGCAUGGCUGUCGUCAGCUCGUGUUGUGAAAUGUUGGGUUAAGUCCCGCAACGAGCGCAACCCUUAUCCUUGUUUGCCAGCACGUAAUGGUGGGAACUCCAGGGAGACUGCCGGUGAUAAACCGGAGGAAGGUGGGGACGACGUCAAGUCAUCAUGGCCCUUACGAGUAGGGCUACACACGUGCUACAAUGGCGUAUACAGAGGGCUGCCAACCAGCGAUGGUGAGCGAAUCCCAGAAAGUACGUCGUAGUCCGGAUUGGAGUCUGCAACUCGACUCCAUGAAGUCGGAAUCGCUAGUAAUCGUGAAUCAGAAUGUCACGGUGAAUACGUUCCCGGGCCUUGUACACACCGCCCGUCACACCAUGGGAGUGGGCUGCACCAGAAGUAGAUAGCUUAACCUUCGGGAGGGCGUUUACCACGGUGUGGUUCAUGAGCUGGGGUGAAGUCGUAACAAGGUAACCAAGGG